UUCUGAAGUGGGAAACACAUUAGAUAGGCAAAUUCCAAAAAUAAUUAAAAAGCAAUUCAUUUUAAACUUAUACUUUUUCUCGCUUAAUAUGGUGAAUACUAAGGGAAGUAACAUACCAAAACUGGCCUUGACUACUUUUUGCAUGGCUGCCUUUGCUACGAUGUUUUACGUGGCCAAUGCUUCCGAUCCUACACCCCUUCAAGAUUUUUGUGUGGGUGUUAAUGAUCCUAAUUCUGCAGAUAUAACAUUUUCUCGUUUACAUAUUUUUUCUGUUUCUAAAAAUAUUAUCAUUUAUCUAUUUUCCUUUAAACACCUCUGUUGUGCACCUAGCUAGAACUAUAGGUUCGUCAAAGGAUAAUUUCUUAUCUUAUCCUAUACCUUUAAAACAUGUAAACUUUGAUUCACUAUUGCAGCAAUAGUGUGUUACCUUUUUUGCCCCCCUUCUACCUCUUUAUUACUGAGUUGCCAUUCUCUCCUAAUGAAACCACGUUAGCUUCUCUGCCCAGCUUUCUCAUUUGUUUUCUCUUUUUUUUCUCUCUCUUCUUCCUGGAUCUUUCUUCCUCCAACUUUGUGUCUGCUCUCUUCCGAUCUUUCCUUUUGCUCUCUCUUCUCUUUCACUGCAUUUCAAAUUUUCGCUGCUUCUCCUUUCUCUUGUCUUCUACUUCCGAUCUUCACAUUCAACUCCAUGUUUUGGAGAUCUGAAAUGGAAGAGAAGGAAGAAGAGGAACCGAUGUGGAGUAUUUCUCAUGGAUAUAGGAAUUUGUUUAAUUCUUCUAAUCUGAUCUACGAGUACUCUACACAGAAUAAUUCCUUCGAUGUUGGUGUCGGAUUUGACGGCUAGGGUUUUCGAUGAACUUGAUACUACAAUGGCGGCUAGGGUUUUUGAUGAAUCUUCUACUAUAGCUGGUGGUUAAGAAUGGCAUCUGGCAACAAGUAAAGCUGCACGAAUUUUGUAGAUCAAAGAACAUUCAUCUAUCUGUACGUUGGGAACAAGUCACCGAUCCACUUCACCAGGAAGUUUUCUCAAGCACCGGUAUGAUUGAAGGAUGAAAGCUGAUUCGGAAAGAGAAGGUAGGUUACUGUUGUCUAUCAACGAGUCUUUGUGAUAUAAGUUUUGAA